rnacentral:rRNA from 1 species
GAUGAACGCUGGCGGCGUGCCUAACACAUGCAAGUCGAACGGAGAUUACGGACGGAAGUUUUCGGAUGGAAGACUGUAAUUCUUAGUGGCGGACGGGUGAGUAACGCGUGGGCAACCUGCCCUAUACAGGGGGAUAGCAGCUGGAAACGGCUGGUAAGACCGCAUAAGUCGGCGAGACCGCAUGGUUUUGCCGGGAAAUGAGCAAUCAGGUAUAGGAUGGGCCCGCGUCCGAUUAGCCAGUUGGCAGGGUAAAAGCCUACCAAAGCAACGAUCGGUAGCCGGACUGAGAGGUCGGACGGCCACAUUGGGACUGAGACACGGCCCAGACUCCUACGGGAGGCAGCAGUGGGGGAUAUUGCACAAUGGAGGAAACUCUGAUGCAGCGACGCCGCGUGAGUGAAGAAGUAUUUCGGUAUGUAAAGCUCUAUCAGCAGGGAAGAUGAUGACGGUACCUGACUAAGAAGCCCCGGCUAACUACGUG